AGGGAAAGAAUAGGCAAAUGUUAUAAAAGUUAAGUCCACUGCUACCAGAAUGAAAUAAUAGGUAGACAGACACUUGUGUCACGGACUAAGAGUCUCACUGAUAUCUCAUGCGCGGGACAUGACAGUUGGCUGGGCUCCAAUAAACUUAAAUUUACAGUCUCAUUUCUGCUACUGUUGGAACACAGCAACGUCAGGACUGAAAACUUGAGUAUCAAGUCUUCAUUCAAACUAGGCCAUUACGCUAUUUCUAACAGAAUUUACAAAACAGU
rnacentral:misc_RNA from 1 species